CGGGGAGUGGCGCAGCCUGGUAGCGCACCUGAAUGGGGUUCAGGGGGCCGCAGGUUCAAAUCCUGUCUCCCCGA
rnacentral:tRNA from 1 species